rnacentral:rRNA from 1 species
UAAGGAAUAUUGGUCAAUGGAGGCAACUCUGAACCAGCCAUGCCGCGUGCAGGAAGACAGCCCUCUGGGUCGUAAACUGCUUUUAUUCGGGAAUAAACCCAUCUACGUGUAGAUGGCUGAAUGUACCGAAGGAAUAAGGAUCGGCUAACUCCGUGCCAGCAGCCGCGGUAAUACGGAGGAUCCAAGCGUUAUCCGGAUUUAUUGGGUUUAAAGGGUGCGUAGGCGGCUUAUUAAGUCAGGGGUGAAAGACGGUGGCUCAACCAUCGCAGUGCCUUUGAUACUGAUGAGCUUGAAUAUACUAGAGGUAGGCGGAAUGUGACAAGUAGCGGUGAAAUGCAUAGAUAUGUCACAGAACACCGAUUGCGAAGGCAGCUUACUAUGGUAUUAUUGACGCUGAGGCACGAAAGCGUGGGGAUCAAACA